CCGAGAGGCAGUUUGGAAGCGAAUUGUUUGCAACUCACAAAGUCUUCACUGUGGGAUCCGAGCCUGGCUGAAAUCACAGCCCACCGGCGCCAGCUGGAAAACCCGCAAGAAGAAAAGGGGAGAGUGCCGGCAACAGGACCCCAGAUUCCUGCAGGAGAGCGCGGAGGACUCAACAGCAAGCAGGCGGCCGGCUGGGGCCAGGCGUCCCAUCCCCUGCUGGUCCUAAGCCUGGUGACUGUGGGAACCUUGAGCCCUUCCCAGCGAUGCUGUGCUGGGCACAGAA